rnacentral:rRNA from 1 species
UGUAAGCGUAUACCAAAGUUGUUGCAGUUAAAACGCUCGUAGUCGGAAUUUGGCAGUUCCGGAUGUGUGCACGUCGUGUGCGCACUUCGCGGGGAUUGCUUUUGUGGUCUUGCGUAGGAUGAGGCACUUUUAUUAGUGAACGUCCUCACGCAACCACUUUUUACUGUGAGAAAAUCAGAGUGCUCAAAGCAGGCAUUUGCCGUGAAUGUAUUAGCAUGGAAUAAUAGAAUAGGACUUUGUUCUAUUUUGUUGGUUUGUUGGGACUGAGUAAUGAUUAAGAGGGACAGUUGGGGGCAUUUGUAUUUCGGUGCUAGAGGUGAAAUUCUUAGAUUACCGAAAGACAAACUGCUGCGAAAGCGUCUGCCAAGGAUGUUUUCAUUGA